GACACGAUGGCCGAGUGGUCUAAGGCGGUAGAUUUAAGCCUCCCUGCUGAGAUCUCUACUACAGAAAUGUGCGUGGGUUCGAACCCCACUCGUGUCA